rnacentral:lncRNA from 1 species
GAGAGCAAAGCUACGGGGAGAGAGAGAGUGGAGAGGUCACCUGUACCAGACUGGGAGAGACAGACCAGAGCAGGAGAGGACACCUGUACCAGACUGGGAGAGACAGACCAGAGCAGGAGAGGACACCUGUACCAGACUGGGAGAGACAGAUCAGAGCAGGAGAGGACACCUGUACCAGACUGGGAGAGACAGACCAGAGCAGGAGAGGACACCUGUACCAGACUGGGAGAGACAGACCAGAGCAGGAGAGGACACCUGUACCAGACUGGGAGAGACAGACCAGAGCAGGAGAGGACACCUGUACCAGACUGGGAGAGACAGACCAGAGCAGGAGAGGACACCUGUACCAGACUGGGAGAGACAGAUCAGAGCAGGAGGGGACACCUGUACCAGACUGGGAGAGACAGACCAGAGCAGGAGAGGACACCUGUACCAGACUGGGAGAGACAGACCAGAGCAGGAGAGGACACCUGUACCAGACUGGGAGAGACAGACCAGAGCAGGAGAGGACACCUGUACCAGACUAGGAGAGACAGACCAGAGCAGGAGAGGACACCUGUACCAGACUGGGAGAGACAGACCAGAGCAGGAGAGGACACCUGUACCAGACUGGGAGAGACAGACCAGAGCAGGAGAGGACACCUGUACCAGACUGGGAGAGACAGAUCAGAGCAGGAGGGGACACCUGUACCAGACUGGGAGAGACAGACCAGAGCAGGAGAGGACACCUGUACCAGACUGGGAGAGACAGACCAGAGCAGGAGAGGACACCUGUACCAGACUGGGAGAGACAGAUCAGAGCAGGAGGGGACACCUGUACCAGACUGGGAGAGACAGACCAGAGCAGGAGAGGACACCUGUACCAGACUGGGAGAGACAGACCAGAGCAGGAGGGGACACCUGUACCAGACUGGGAGAGACAGACCAGAGCAGGAGAGGACACCUGUACCAGACUGGGAGAGACAGACCAGAGCAGGAGAGGACACCUGUACCAGACUGGGAGAAACAGACCAGAGCAGGAGAGGACACCUGUACCAGACUGGGAGAGACAGACCAGAGCAGGAGAGGACACCUGUACCAGACUGGGAGAGACAGACCAGAGCAGGAGGGGACACCUGUACCAGACUGGGAGAGACAGACCAGAGCAGGAGAGGACACCUGUACCAGACUGGGAGAGACAGACCAGAGCAGGAGAGGACACCUGUACCAGACUGGGAGACACAGACCAGAGCAGGAGAGGACACCUGUACCAGACUGGGAGAGACAGACCAGAGCAGGUGGGGAGCAGUGCAGCAGGUAACAGGGUAUGUGAGAGUGUCCAGAGAUUAG